rnacentral:rRNA from 1 species
AUACGGAGGGUGCAAGCGUUACUCGGAAUUACUGGGCGUAAAGGACGCGUAGGCGGUUUUUAAAGUCAGAUGUGAAAGCCUAUGGCUUAACCAUAGAACUGCAUUUGAAACUUCUAAACUAGAGUGAGGGAGAGGUCAGUGGAAUUAGUGGUGUAGGGGUAAAAUCCGUAGAGAUCACUAGGAAUACUCAUAGCGAAGGCGACUGACUGGAACUUUACUGACGCUGAGGCGUGAAAGCGUGGGGAGCAAACAGGAUUAGAAACCCUAGUAGUCC